rnacentral:rRNA from 1 species
GACAGAGGCCCCGAGCGUUAGGCGGAAUCACUGGGCUUAAAGCGUGUGUAGGCGGGCCCGUAAGUGUCUUGUGAAAUCCCCCGGCUCAACCGGGGAACGGCUGGGCAUACUGCGGGCCUCGGGCCGACUAGGGGUUGCCGGAACAAGCGGUGGAGCGGUGAAAUGCGUAGAUAUGCGGAGGAACACCGAUGGCGAAGGCAAUCCCCUGGGCCUGCACUGACGCUCAUGCACGAAAGCGUGGGGAGCAAACAGG